AACAACCACAACCACAACAACGACAACAACAACAACCGCGACGAUGAUGACGAUCACAACGACGACAACCACGACAACGACGAAAACGACGAGAACAACGAAACCAAUGACAACUAUGAGAACAACAGCAACAAGAACAACAACGACAACAUCGACAACAAUGACAUCAGCAACAAGAACGACAACAACGACGACCAGAGAGACAACGACGACCACAACGACAACGACGAGAAGAACGACCUCAUAGACAACAAUAACAACAAGGACGACGACAACAACGCCCACAACAAUAAUGAUGAGAAGAACGACAACAACGACAUCAACAACCACAACGACAACAAAGACUAGAAUGACAACAAUGAUAACAAUAACAACAACACAACAAUGACAACAACAACAACAAGAAGAACAACAACAAUAGAAAUAACAAGAAUGACGAUGAUAACAACAAGAACAACAACAAAAACAACAAUGACAACAACAACAACAACAACAACAACAACAGAAAGAACAAGAAUGACGAUGAUGACAAUGAUGACAAAAAGGACGAUGACAACAAUGACGACGGUGACAACGAUGACCAUGACAAGGAUGACGACGACGACGAAGACAACAACAACAACAACAAUAACAAUAGCAGCGACAACAACAACAACAUCAUCAUCAUCAUCAUCAUCAACAACAACAACAACAACAAAAACAACAACAACAGCAACAACAUAAACGACGACGACAACAACAACGACAACAACAACAACAGGGUACACCUCUCUUGGCUUGCUCGCACUCGUCUGGGUCGCAGUUUUGGAAAUCUAUCUAGGGCAUCAAGGCUGGUAUUAGGUUGGGUCUGCGGCUCUCGGUGGGUAAUGGGUCUGGGACCCAGUUUUGGUUGGACCCCUGGCUUGAUGGAGAACCUCUCCAAUUGCGGUUUCCGAGGCUCUUUGCUAUCUGCCACGACCCAGCUGUCAUUGUCUCUGCGGCAGCUUUUGAGGACGGUUGGCAUUUUGCGUUCCGCCGCUCCCUCGGUCCAGCCGAGGCCCAGGAUUGGGAGGUCUUGAGGGCAAUGGUUCCUCUCCCGGCCUCGUCGGCCAAUGACAGUGCUGCUUGGAUUCUUUCUCCCUCCGGAGAAUUCUCCGUUAGUUUGGCUUAUCUGGCACUCUGCCGGGUGCCGCUACUUGACAGUUUUGUCCUCACUUUGGAAGGCACCGUUACCCGUGAAGAUCAUGAUUUUCGUUUGGCAUCUUCUCCGCGACCGUCUGUCUUCGAGAAACGAGGUGCUGAAACGCCAUGGUCCGGGUAACGGCACCUUCCCCGUGUGCCACCUCCCGUAGAUAGGAACUCACAUUCUAUUCUCCUGCGUCGCGGCACAAGCUCUCUGGUGCUUUGUGCGUGAGGCUCUGAACCGGAGUGGGAGGCUCAUGACCUUGCAUAUUUUCUACAGGUAAGGGCCACCCAGGUUGGCCAAAAGCAUCGAAUGUUCUGGCUGGUCUUCGCAGCUAUGAUGUGGACUCUUUAGACUACUCGGAACAAAAUGGUGAUUGAGCGCGUGAUUCAGCGGCGUGCAUUUGACUCGUUCUUCAAAUUCCUUGCCUUCUUGCAGCACUGACAUCCGUUCACUAGGACCUGAGACCGUGACCGGCUUCAGCGCUAUUUGGACGCGUUGCUGACGUCCGCCCGGCGACUCUCCGUCUGUUCGCCUGCUCCUUAGCUAGCCCCUAUGGUGGCUUUGUCUGUCUCUUUUUCUUUUCUCUUGGGUGUGGCUGUAUUGUGGCCCCAUAAAUUUUAUCUUUUUAAACUAUAAUGGGACAUGGUUGUAUGGAUGCUGGACUAUUUGCUUUAUAUAUAAAGCGGGGAGAAAGCCUAUUUCGAGAGAUUGGAGCUUUAUGAACCUUCUGGGAUGUCAGGAUUGCGAUACGUCUUUGACUUGGUGUCGCAGACCGGGUUAGAACGACGAGAACUACCACCUGUGACACACAACACAAACACGCAGAAAAGGCGACAAAAAGACUCAAGGCAAGGUUCAGAACACAAAAGAAUAAGCACAAGACUCCAAAGAAAAACAGCCAUAGAUGGCAUAGCGGUAGCACCGUUCGCCCCCAGCGGUACCAGCAGUAGUACCGCCCGGAUGGAGCGGUAGUACCGCGCGGGGCAGGAUGUCUAGAUAGGAUCCGAAUCUAAACCACAUCCAUAUAAAAUUUUACAAGAACGAGCAGAUUGUUAACACAUGUAGAGCUCUAAGGCAUGUCGGAUUGAUACAAGAGAGAACAUUGGACCUAAAAUCUCCUAAGAUUUCUCCUCCAUUCCAACCAAAGACUAAGCAUAGAUCAAGACAAUGAAUCUAGUACAUCAAGCUCCUAACCCUAAGCAAGAAAACCAACCAACACAGGAAGGAGAGGAGCUGUAACGGAAUCCAUAGCACCCGAAGAAAGAAGGAGGAGGGGGAGCAAUCCCUCCAACUUCAAAGGGAGGAGAAGCUCCACGGAGGAGAACAAGAUCUGAGGAUUUCAGGGUAGAGAGAGAGCAACACGAAGAAGAAGCAAAUGGGGCAGAAAAUACGGCUCCCUCCCUUUAUAUACCCGCUAGGUCACGGGCACGGCGGUAGUACCGCUCGGGCCAAAGCGGUAGUACCGCUACGCUAGCGGUAGUACCCGUGGGCUGGCGGUAGUACUGCUUGUGUCAGGAGCGGUAGUACCGCUCGGCCUGAAAAAAUACAGAAUCAUGACGACCUAGCCCUAGCCAGCGGUAGUACCGUGUUGGUCAUCGCGGUAGUACAGCUCGGGUCAUAGCGGUAGUACCGCUCCCCCUCGCGGUAGUACUGCUUCCUCUGAACGAUAGUACCGCUCCAGAAAACACAGAGAGCUUGAGAACUUGCCAUAACAACGUGGAAUCAUCGUGGGCAUCGACUAGUCAGUAUGAGAGAAAGAAAAUCACCAGCAAGAUAUACUGACUAGCCAUAUUAUAACCUUCCUUUAUCUGAAGAGAAAAAGGGGGCGGUGGCCGGAGCCACCUAUGUUUGAGACAAAAGGUAUGACACCGCGAAGAAUUAUCCUUGGCUUCAUAACCAAUGAUCAUCUUUGACGCACAAGAAUGGCCGAUGUGAAAGACUUGAUCGCUUUAUGCAUAAUUGGGGGAGGGAAAGUUCAUUGAGAGGACAACACUCCCCCUAUGUCCAUGCCUACACCUAGAACUAGAUGUAAUGCGGAAUAAGGUGCAGUGUGCCUAGUUUCGAUCCACAUUACUUUAAUCAAUGAUAUUUAGCUCAUGCCUUAACUCCCGGAACCUUGCUUAAUCUAGGGGCUUAGUGAAAAUAUCUGCAAGUUGCUCUUCAGUGUUGAUGAAGUGAACCUAAAUAUCACCACGCUUGAUAUGCUCACGAAUGAAGUGAUGACGAAUAUCAAUGUGCUUGGUCUUGCUAUGUUGCACCGAAUUAAGGGAAAUCUUGAUAGCACAUUGAUUGUCACAUAAAAGAGGCACUUUGUCACAAGUGACACCGUAAUCCUUUAUAGUUUACCUCAUCAAUAGCAACAGUGCACAACAACUCGUAGCUGCAACAUACUCAGCUUCGGUGGUAGACAAUGAGACACAGUUCUGCUUCUUUGAAGACCAACUUACUAGUGAACGACCAAGGAAUUGACAUCCUCCAGAAGUUGAAUUCCUCUCCACACAGUCUCCCGCCCAAUCUAAGUCAGAAUAGCCCACUAGGUAGAAGUUUGCUCAUUUGGGAUACCAUAGGCCAAAGUUUGCGGUAUGAGCCAAAUAUCAAAAGAUUCGUUUGACAACCAUAUAAUGGCUUUCCUUUGGUGCAGAUUGAAACCGUGCACAAAUCCCUACACUCAACAUGAUAUCCGGUCUAGAUGCACAAAGAUAAAGUAGGGAUGCAAUCAUGGAGCGAUAUACGUUUUGAUCCACUGCUUUACCAUUGGGAUCACUAUCAAGUUUGCAUCUGGUUGGCAUGGGAAACUUGACCGGUUUGACGUCCUCUAGCUGGAACCUCUUGAGCAUGUCUUGGGUGUACUUGGCUUGUUUGAUGAAGGUCCCUUCUAAACCUUUUUUAAUCUCAAACCCGAGGAAGAAUUUCAACUCACCCAUCAUUGACAUCUCAAAUUUCUCGGUCAUUAGUGCAGCAAAUUCUACAUUGAAAGAUUCAUUAGGGGAACCAAAAAGGAUAUCAUCAACAUAUAGCUGGCAUAUGAACAAAUCUCCUUUGACCUUCUAGGUAAAAAGAGUGGGACCAAUCUUCCCAAUUUCAAACCCACGAUCUUGUAACAACUCAGUAAGGUACACAUACCAGGCACGUGGGUCUUGUUUAAGGCCAUAGAGUGCCUUAUUAAGUUUGUUUACAUGAUUGGGGAGCUCGGGAUGUUCGAACCCCGGGGGUAGUUUGACAUAAACCAACUCAUUUAAAGGACCGUUAAGAAAAGCACUCUUCACAUCCAAUUUUUUGUAAUUUGAAAUCAUGAUGAGAUGCAAAUGCAAGCAGCAUGAGAAUAGAUUCUAGACGAGCAACAGGGGAAAAUAUUUCACCAUAGUCGACACCCUCAACUUGGGAGUAUCCUUGAGACACCAAUCUUGCCUUGUUUCGAACCACAAUCCCAUUGGCAUCUUGCUUGUUUUUGAAGAUCCAUUUGGUCCCGAUGACAUUAUGUUCCUCCUUUGUUCUUGGCACUAAUUUCCAGAGUUGACUACGCUCGAAGUUGUUGAGUUCUUCAUGCAUGGCCAUCAGUCAAUCCUCAUCAUUGAGCGCUUCCUCUACCUGUUGAGGUUCACAAUACGAAACAAACGCGUGAUGCUCACAAUAAUUUGAAGUUUGUUGAUG
rnacentral:lncRNA from 1 species